rnacentral:rRNA from 1 species
UACGGAGGGGGCGAGCGUUAUUCGGAAUUAUUGGGCGUAAAGGGCGCGUAGGCGGCCUGACUAAGUCAAAGGUGAAAUCCCUCGGCUCAACUGAGGAACUGCCUUUGAAACUGGUGCUUGAGGCCGGGAGGGGUAGCGGAAUUCCCAGUGUAGCGGUGAAAUGCGUAGAUAUUGGGAGGAACACCAGUGGCGAAGGCGGCUACCUGGACCGGUUCUGACGCUGAUGCGCGAAAGCGUGGGUAGCAAACAGG